UGAGCAACCUGCCCUUGGCUUUGGGAUAACCCUCGGAAACGGGGGCUAAUACCGAAUGUUCACUGCUGGACGCAUGUUUGGUGGUGGAAAGUUUUUCGGCUGGGGAUGGGCUCGCGGCCUAUCAGCUUGUUGGUGGGGUGAUGGCCUACCAAGGCGACGACGGGUAGCCGGCCUGAGAGGGCGACCUGCCACACUGGGACUGAGACACGGCCCAGACUCCUACGGGAGGCA
rnacentral:rRNA from 1 species